AGUUCCCGCCGGGAUUCGGACCCGGGUCUUCAGAUCUCUCACCGAACGUAAGCUGGACUUUUUACAUUGAUUUCCCUCGUUCAAAGUCUAAUGUGCUAACCACUGCACCACGGGAAC
rnacentral:tRNA from 1 species